rnacentral:tRNA from 1 species
GCCCCGGUGGUGUAGCCCGGCCUAUCAUCCGAGCCUGUCGAGCUCGGGACCCGGAUUCAAAUUCCGGCCGGGGCG